AUUCCAUAGAUUUUUCCUCUCCCCUCCAGGGCUAAUGAGGAGAAAGUUUGCCAGGCUGAACAAAGAUGGGAAGGGUUUUCACUCGCCUGGAGCCCCAGCGUGGCCAGCUCCAGGCAAGGGCCAUUAUGGGGAGGUUGGGUACUGUCAUUCGAUUGCUGUGAGUGACUUUUGGGAGCAGGGCCAUCCAUCAGUUCUGUGAUCCACAUAAUUUGUCCUCUGAGAGCGGAAACAUGUUUCCCAGAGAGAAGCCUUUCAAGCUGUCUCUGGGCCUCAGGCUCCCGGGGCCAAGCCCACGUCUGACUGAGGGGGCUUAAGAUCUCACCGACGCUUCGUCAAUCACAUCGGGAAGGGAAGGAACCUUGGAAUAUUGCAGCGCAUUGCCCCCGCUAGUCCGGCAAUGUGUAAACACUUCAUGUGGUGGUGAUAAGAACAUAAAAAUGCUCAACACCCCAGACUCGGGUCUGGGAUCUUGUUCCGAGAUCAGCCUCUGCGUGGGCCCAUUUGGCUGCACCAGGAGCUGCCGUUGAGGACCUCAGCCCCCCGGCUUCCAUUUACCUACAAUUAGAGCCUGCUCUGGCCCCUUGGUGGACUUGGGAGGCCCUGGUGAUCCCAGAAUCCCUGCUGGGUAAUGGCCCUCACAGCAAGUGACCGAUUCACUCAUCCCUUCAUUCAUUCAUGCAGGCAGCCUUCUCCCAAGCAUGGGCCCCAAGCCAGGCUUUGGGGACUGAGAGGUGAAUCAGGGAGCCCCCAGGAGUCCUCACAGCCCCAAAUCCAGUGCAUGUGGUAUUUUUGGACUCAGUGGAUGGAGGCUAAGGGGUCCCCUGCGUGACCUGGGGCCUGAAGAUGCCGGUCUACGAGGAGGCUUAGAAUCGCUGAGCACUUCAGCUGUGCUGGAGGAAGGGGUCCUCGGAAGAAGAUGCUGCUGGGAGACGGUCGAAGGCCGGCAGUGUUGACUCCAAAGCGAGGCUGUCGACCGCGUGUGGGUAAUAACUGCCCACCUCCCUGGAACCCCAGCCAGGCCUGUGUUCCAGGCACUCGGGGCCACGCCCCAUCGUCUGCAUCACCGUCUGCACUCCACCUCCCAUCAGAUCAGUGGCGGCGUGAGAUUCUCAUGGGGGCGGGAACCCUAUUGUGAACUGCGAGUGCGAGGGAUCGAGGCUGCACGCUCCUUGUGAGCAUCUAAUGCCUGAUGAUCUGUCACUGUCUCCCAUCACCCUUAGAUGGGAAGGCCUAGUUGCAGGAAAACAAGCUCAGGACUCCCACGGAUUGUACACUAUGGGGGACGAAAAUAUAUGACUUAAAACGUGCAACCAGGA
rnacentral:lncRNA from 1 species